UUCUUCCUAUCACAUUUGGUGGUUAUAUAUUCAUGGGGGAUGCGGGGAAGGGAGGUAGAUCAGUACAGACUGGUGCAUUAAGAUAUAUUGCAUGUGGAAAAGUUGACACCAGAGCAUGUGGCUGACAGAUAGGAGAGAGGCAAGCAGACAGCAGAAUAUCCCCAAGUCCAUUAUAACGCCAUCAAACUGACCUUUACAAAAUAUAUAUGAGAACAAUAAAAAGGGACCUUCCUGGCUUUGGAUGCAGCAGUGGCACCAAAGGUGGUUUAACGCCCUGUGUGCUCCUCAUCUCCCAGCACCUCGGUGUCCUGGGCUGACCAGGGGGGCUGCACAUCCUGCGGGGUGUUCGGGCAUUGCAGAGCUUCUGGAUGCUGCAGGACCAUGGAGGAAGAGCCAGCAGCAUGGCACCAAUCCUGCCAGGAGCCAUGGCAUGGGAUGCUGCACGCAUGGGAUGCUGCAGGCACAGAUGGAGGCACUCACAGCUCUCCCCUCCAAGUCCCAGCUGUAACCAAGUAUGUUUUGAGAUCUACCCUGACUCAUCCCAGUUUGUUUCCGCGUCAGCCAGCCCACAGAGCGGGAAGUGCCAGCAUGGGCAGGAGGGGACAGGGCCCUUCACAGCCUGCUUUGAGGGGGGGGAUGGAGCAACCAGACGGGAUCCACCAAACCUCUCAGAUGGCCGCAGGCACAGCGAGCUGCUGCCUGCAACACCCCAGCAAUGCCCUGCAGCCUGGUGGGUCAGCCCUUGGGCAUAAAUCCCUCCAGAGGCUGCAAACUGCAGACGAGGAGGGGAUUUAGGCUCCUACUGGGUCACUGCCAGAGCUGGCUGUGUCCAGGGCUUCCCCCUCGCUGACACUGGGGGCUGAGGCUUUGUAGAUCCCCUCGUGGACAGUCCCCCCUAGAAGGAUUAAGCAUUAACAGGGCUGGAGAGAUGGAGCGUGUAACUUGGGCACCGGCCGGGAAAACAGGGUUACAGCUCCUUAACCCCAGGCGUAUCACGUGUCGCUCACUCUUUUCUUUUUGCAGGCAGGGGUGGAAAGGUUAAUGAGCUCACCCAGGGCUGUGAUGAGCUUUGUUGGCAAGAGGAGAGCCUCCAAAGGCCUGGGGUGGAGUGCUCCAGCACUGGGUGGUCCCUCAGCCCCUCUCGGUCCCUGCCCAGCGGGGAAGAGCCCUCAGGAGCUCAGGGACACGCAAAGCUCGUCCCUCUCUCCUCUGCUGCAUAGCUCGGGCCUGGCUCUAAUAGCAAAAUGAUGGCUGCAAUCCUGCACCCUGAAAAACCAAAGGGAUUUUUCCAGGACUGGGAAACUCCCUGGGACAGUAGCAACGGCAGGGGCAGAGCUUUUCAGCGCUAGAGAAGAGCGUAGCAGAAACCAGCCACGCAGGGAAGGCAGGUCUGCAGUGUUGCCGCCGCACCACGGGGAAGUGUGACACGUGGGCGUACCCUCAAUUCGCGAGUGUUUCCACCCCGAUGUGCUGCGAGCCGGGGACAGCAGGGAGCUGGGUGCGUGGUGUCUGUGCGGCGAAGGGGCGCAGCGAGGUGUUACAAACGCCGCCUUCCCCUCCCUGCUGGCUGCCUGCUCUAAGGGCUUUAAGAAGCAGAGUCGGUGCAAGCCCCCAGUUCUGAUUCCCACCGUAGUGCUGCUGGUGCUUGCAUGCAUUUGGGCAGAGAGCUUGCUUCAUCCUCCAGCCCUGCUGCAGCUUUCAUGCUUGCCGUAGCCAGCUUGUGAGCAUCCAUGCACUUGCAGAGCUGCCUCAGCACCCUGGUCUUGAGCUGCUGCUCCAGUUUGUGCUUUGCUGG
ensembl:lncRNA